rnacentral:rRNA from 1 species
CACGCAGGCGGUCUGUCAAGUCAGAUGUGAAAUCCCCGGGCUUAACCUGGGAACUGCAUUUGAAACUGGCAGGCUAGAGUCUUGUAGAGGGGGGUAGAAUUCCAGGUGUAGCGGUGAAAUGCGUAGAGAUCUGGAGGAAUACCGGUGGCGAAGGCGGCCCCCUGGACAAAGACUGACGCUCAGGUGCGAAAGCGUGGGGAGCAAACAGGAUUAGAUACCCUGGUAGUCCACGCCGUAAACGAUGUCGACUUGGAGGUUGUGCCCUUGAGGCGUGGCUUCCGGAGCUAACGCGUUAAGUCGACCGCCUGGGGAGUACGGCCGCAAGGUUAAA